AUGGUCAUGCAACCGCACAGAAAAGGUCUUAAGUGGAGGAAUCCCACCUUUAUGGCGAGUAAUCAUAGAUGA
rfam:Firmicutes bacterium CAG:536 genomic scaffold, scf27